AUUGAACGCUGGCGGCAGGCCUAACACAUGCAAGUCGAGCGGAGCGGCGGACGGGUGAGUAAUGCCUAGGAAUCUGCCUGGUGGUGGGGGAUGACGUCCGGCAACGGGCGCUAAUACCGCAUACUAUCAGAUGAGCCUAGGUCGGAUUAGCUAGUUGGUGGGGUAAAGGCCUACAAAGGCGACGAUCCGUACCUGGUCUGAGAGGAUGAUCAGUAAAACUGGAACUGGGAAACGGUCCAGACUCUUACGGGAGGAAGCAGUGGGGAAUAUUGGAAAAUGGGCGAAAGCCUGAUGCAGCCAGGCGGGGGGUGGGAAGAAGGUUUUCGGAUGGAAAAGUACGUUAAGUUGGGAGGCGUUACCAACAGAAAAAGCAACGGCUAACUACGUGCCAGCAGCCGCGGUAAUUC
rnacentral:rRNA from 1 species